rnacentral:rRNA from 1 species
UACGAAGGUUGCGAGCGUUGUUCGGAAUCACUGGGCUUAAAGCGCAUGUAGGCAGCUCAUCAAGUGUCUUGUGAAAUCCCUUGGCUCAACCAAGGAAUUGCUGGGCAUACUGUUAGAGCUUGAGGCAGGUAGGGGUGUGUGGAACUCUUGGUGGAGCGGUGGAACGCGUAGAUAUCAAGAGGAACGCCGGAGGCGAAAGCGACGCACUGGGCCUGUCCUGACGCUGAGAUGCUAAAGCCAGGGGAGCAAACGGG